rnacentral:rRNA from 1 species
CCUACGGGAGGCAGCAGUGGGGAAUAUUGCACAAUGGGGGAAACCCUGAUGCAGCGACGCCGCGUGAGUGAAGAAGUACUUCGGUAUGUAAAGCUCUAUCAGCAGGGAAGAAAAUGACGGUACCUGAGUAAGAAGCCCCGGCUAACUACGUGCCAGCAGCCGCGGUAAUACGUAGGGGGCAAGCGUUAUCCGGAUUUACUGGGUGUAAAGGGAGCGUAGACGGCAGCACAAGUCUGGAGUGAAAGGCCGGGGCUUAACCCCGGAACUGCUGUGGAAACUGUACAGCUGGAGUGCAGGAGAGGUAAGUGGAAUUCCUAGUGUAGCGGUGAAAUGCGUAGAUAUUAGGAGGAACACCAGUGGCGAAGGCGGCUUACUGGACUGUAACUGACGUUGAGGCUCGAAAGCGUGGGGAGCAAACAGGAUUAGAUACCCGAGUAGUC